AAUAUUAUGUUAUAAUAUAAAGGCAGUAGCAAAGUGAGAAAGAUGGUGGCUAAAUCCUCAUUAGGGGGUGAUGCCUAUGCUUGAAUGUAUAGUUUUACUCCUGGAAAGGAGCUAGACUUGUCUGUGUUUGAAGCACUUACGCUGAUGAUCGCUUUUGCGACAUUAGUCGUGCUGAUACUAGGCUUUGA
rnacentral:sRNA from 23 species